rnacentral:misc_RNA from 1 species
GAUCUGCUUCAGUUCCGGCUCGACGACGUAGACCACCGGCACGCCUGCGGUGAGGUACUCGGCAACUUUGCGAUGGACAUCGACCCAGCGGUCGGACGGAGACAGAACUUCAAAGACCGCGUCGGGUGGCGCCGUCAGGUACUCGUCCGGCAGCGGCCCGGGUGGGACUUUUGAGUAGCUGUAGAAGGAGACGUCAGCCCCCCGAACCGUAUCUGGACCACGCUCGGUGACGACGCCCGUGUCGUUCCCAGUACGUGACCGAUCUCUCUUGCAUCUGCAAAGUUCUGCAACAAUUGCUGGAUGCGGGUACAGACCUUGCCGUGACGUGGUUUAGCGGGAGGC